GAUGAACGCUGGCGGCGUGCCUAAUACAUGCAAGUCGAGCGAACAGACGAGUGGCUUGCUCCUCUGACGUUAGCGGCGGACGGGUGAGUAACACGUGGGUAACCUACCUAUAAGACAGGGGGAACUACGGGAACCCGGAGCUAAUUCCGGAUAAUAUAUUUAACCGCAUGGUUCAGUAGUGAAAUACAGUUUUUCUGUCUCUUGUAGAUGAAUCCGCGCCGCAUUUGCUAGUUGGUAAGGUAACGGCUUACCACGGCAACGAUUCGUAGCCGACCUGAGAUGGUGAUCGGCCACACUGGAAUUGAGCCGCGGUCCAGACUCCUACGGGAGGCAGCGGAAGGGAAUCUUCCGCAAUGGGCGAAAGCAUGACGGAACAAAGCCGCGUGACUGAUGAAGGGCUUCGGAUCGUAGAUCUCUGUUAUUUGGGUAGAACAAAUGUGUAAGUAACGAUGAACGUCUUGACGGUACCGAAUCAGAAAGCCACGGCUAACUACGUG
rnacentral:rRNA from 1 species